GACGGGGAGAGGAGAGGGAGCCAGCCGUGAGAGGAUAUUAGAAGAGAGGCUUGUCUCCAAGAUAUGGAAGGAAGUGAGAAAUGACAGGACCGCAGCUUUGUAUGUGGGAGUCGGGCAGGGAGGGGGCGCGGCCGAGGAGAGCCAAGUGGAUUCUUGGGGGAAGGGGGAGCCAUAGAAGAGCUAAAGGUGAUUAGAGGGGGAUAUUGAUUCCUUAUUCUGCCAGCGAUUUAAGCAGGCAUGCGAGGAAUCUGCACGAUGGUUGGCAAAAGGAGCCCCGUUGCCUCCUGUAACCAGACACUCGGGCUUUCCAGGAGCCUAGGGAGAGAGCCCAGAAGAAAGGGGGCAGUGUGGUCUAGGAAAAUUCAACUUGUCGCUGAUUUGUGCCUGAUGCUUGCUGUCCGUCAGCAACCUCCCUUACAAUCUUUUUUUCCUCCCCCCCCCCUUUUUUUUUUUUUUGCUUCUUGUCUUCUCCUUCUUCACUGAAGCCUAGGGGAGCCAGUAAAGAUUAAAUGUGCUUUCUCAAAGGCGGCCACUUCAAGCUGCUAUGUCGAAAGGGCCUGUCUUAUUAUGUUUUAAUAGUAAAAGAAAGAGAGAGAGAGAAAUUAGGUACGAUGAUGACUGACUUAGCUUUUCGGAGAGGAAGAGGAAAAGGGAAGGGAGAGAAAAAGGAGAGACCCUGAACUGGACGGAGGAUUGUGCCUGAGAAGAACCCACGGAGGCGGCACUGGAAGACCGUCUUUGCAAAGGAAAGCGCAGCUUCCAGUCAGAUGGGGAAAGCGACCAUCUAUCAGGUACAGAACCAGUAGCUGUCUGCGAAGAUGGAGGGGAAUUAUGCUUCCGAUUCCUGGGAAAUAUUGGCGAAAGGCUUCCAAGGCUCCGCGGCAGGGGGGAGGGGGGACGUGUCUCCCCAGCUUGCACCCACCCCUUCCCGCUCCGCGUCUACCAAAUGACAGCCUGGUGCCGGCUCUUGGGGAUCUGGCCUUGGCUUCAGCCACGCAGCUGAUGCAGAGGACGCCCCAGUUUGCAGGACUGGCCAAGUGGACACUAAAGAAAAGAAGGAAGAAAUUUUUAAAAAGCAGCUCUGAGGAGGUUGCGCGUUCUUUCUCUUUUUUGGAUUUUUAACUGAGGAUUUUUCAAUCUUUGACCAGUCCCAGCCCCUCCCUCCACCUCGACCAAACUGUUCCCCCCCACUACCUUCCUCCCUCCCCCCAGUCAAAGCAUAAACUACAGAGUUACAGUCUCUAGAUUUGGUGUCUCGCUUCCUGCCCCCGCCUCCCCCUCCCCGCCCCCGGUCACCGUCCUCUAUUGAAACACCUCGCCCAGACCAGCGCGCUGCGAGCUCGCGUUUCCCCCCUUGCUUGGGAUGGUGGUACCGGAGCCGGCAGCCCAGUUUCACUUCGAAUGGUUGUGUUGAUGUUCCUUUCAGCUGGUCCUAUAGCCCCCCCUCCUCAGGAAUGUCUCCCAGUGAAAAGACAAAGACCACGAGACUGCUACAUUGAUGGAGCCAACUAUGAAGUUGAAACAAAGAAAAUGAUCUUCUGAAGACACCUGUCCUGCUAAGCAGCACACCCAAAUGGUGCGGUUUCUGCCAACAGAACUCUCAGAACAAAAGGCAAUCUUUUCAAGAAACAGUAAAAAAUAAUGACACCUAGGUUUCUAGUGAGCCAAGAGCUUUCCCUUCCUUAUGUGUAUUCCUCUGUUUGUAUUUAAAUUUAGUGUGACAUUCAUUUUAAGAAUUUGUUUCCUGGUAUGAAUAUGCUUAUUAAUGCACCAAUUUUACAAUGCACACAUUGAAAUUGCGCAAAUGUGUUAAUGUUUUAAGGAGCAAAAUUAAUACUGUAAAUGGAUUGAGUUUGAGCUAUGCACAGUUUGUUCUAAUAAUCACCUAGAGAAGAAAAAGAAUUUUUGAAAUAACAUAGCCAGCGGUAGUCCAAAAAAUGAAAUAAUAGCAGAAACUAUAUAUAAAAAAAAAAAAAUACUUGAGCAUAUAAGCACGUUAUUCCACCUGACGUCAACCAUUACUUCUAUCAAGCAAGCUAGGUUCUGUGAGAUAUGUUGCUGCCUCCCACAAAUUUUUAUCUAGUUUUUAGCGUUACAUGAACUCUGUAUAACAAGAUGAGUAACAAAUUGAGUCAGUAGAUGACAAGAGAGAGGUAAAAAAAUAAAAUAAAAUAAACAAGGAGCUCAAAGGAGGUUGCCAUAAAGGGGCCCUGUUUAGAGAAGAAGGUUCCCAAAGGAGGUAAUGUGUAAGAUGAAUCUUGAAUGAUGUUAAAAAUGUAGAUAAACAGAAAGGAAGGAAAAAUCGAGUCCGUUCGGUGGAGGUAAUAUUGUGAGCUAAGCUAUGGAAGAAGGAUUCAUGGGAUGAGUUUAGGGGAUUCAGAAUACCCACCUUUCGUCGAACUCACCCCGGACAUUCAAGACCAACAUACCUAUGUAUCUGGUAAGGAUUUUGCGCACAUACCUUCCCUUUCCCUCCUCAGGGGUGCCUAGAAUUAUAAUCAUAUUUCUUUGCCAUUAGAGCUAGUGUGGGUGAUUGGUGAUUCAGAGAAACUGUGAUUUUUUUUUUCUGUUAACCUAAUAAUAAUUGGCAUUUAUCGAGCUUUCACUGUAUGUUAAGUAUUUUUCAUAACUCACUUCAACUUCACAGCAACCCUGCAAAAUAGAUAUCAUGAUUAUCCCCAUUUUACAGACAAGAUAACUGAGGUUUAAUAGGGUUAAGUAACUUGCCAAAGUGGCAUAUACAGGGUUGAUAUUCAGGAUUAUGACUGCAAAGUUCAUGAUCUAUAAAGUACUAAGCCAUGUUAUUGUGAUCAGUGUGACAGUGUUAGCUCUUUCUCUAGAUUCCUUGAUAUUUUUCUAUGCUAAAAAAAAAAAAAAUGAUGUUUCUUUUCAUUAUUCCCUAAAAUUUUUCAGGGUUCUGGUUAAAUUAUGGUAGAGUGAUCAAAUGCAUUUUCAUAAUAGAAUAUUGAAAACAAUUGAGAAAUAGAGCUUGUCAGCAUUUUAGGCUUUUUUUUUUUUUUGGCCAGAUUUUGAUGAGAUUUUCCACUUGGGUUUUCAAAUUUUUGAGAAUGAAAAAUAGGAGGAUUUAAGGUAAUCUGUUGCAAUGUCCUUUUUUACAAAUGAAAUAAAUCUACAGCUCGUAAAGUCAGAGUGACUUAGAAAAGAUCACACAGUUGGGGAUGGCAGAACUGGCUCCAGAAACCAGACCCUCCAGCCUACCCUCAGUGGCUCCUGAACUAGGGUCAGGGCUCUUGAACCCUGCCUUAAUGCAGUAUAAACUUGAAAUUGAUCAAUGGAAACAUCCUUUAGUUAAUCAGGGAGCAUUGUGCCUAGUAGAUUUCUUCAAUUCUGCACUUCUGUUGGCUUCCUAUCUCAUUAUGAAAAUAUAACCAGCUCUGAACUAACAUCUUUAAAUCGAGAAAUUGUCAAUGGUCCAUCCCCAAAGACUGUAUAAUGACGGAAGUUGUAUGUGUGCAGUGUCUUCAAUGAUAUUCUUCAGUUAUUUGGAAUUCUUAGCUCACUUAAACAAAUUAGCUCUUCGAUUGAGCACCUUCUUAACCAACUCUAUGCACGGUAUAUAUUUAUAAGUCUUUCUGCAUGAGUAUUUAUAAAUGAUUCUUCAUAGUACUUACGUUUUUCAACUGUCAAUAGUUAUUUGCUAUUUUAAUCCUCACUUGUUCAUGGAACUAACUGAAGAACACUUUGGCCAUAAAAAGCUGGAAGUGACAAAAUGUCACUGUUCUUUAACAGCCUCUUUGCAUUUGGUUGGCCUUUAGUAAUGACUAAUAAAGUGGUCAGCUGGAUAACACAGAGAUUCAAGAUGCUCUUUUAUCCUGAAGGAAUCUUAAGUUGGGUCUACUUAAGGACAAGCAUCUAGAUAUUUGAAGGUAUCUGAAUAUCUUAUUGUUGUAAAAUUCCCAGUUAGAUAUAUGGUAUUGGUAGACCUCCUCUUGGCUCUCAUCAUCCUGAUGAGAUCCUUUUUGGCCAUAUUUCACCAGUUUUCAUUAAGUUCGUAAAUAAAUGGGAAUUUUACAAGAAUAGCCAAGCACAAAGUGUGGCUUUGUUGACAUUUUAUGAGACUCUGUUAUAUAUGUCCCCUGAACCCCUAAUAAAAGCAAUGUUGAAUCAAC